CUCCAGACUCCUACGGGAGGCAGCAGUGAGGAAUAUUGGUCAAUGGGCGCGAGCCUGAACCAGCCAAGUCGCGUGAGGGAAGACGGUCCUAUGGAUUGUAAACCUCUUUUGUCGGGGAGCAAAAGACGCCACGCGUGGCGUUCCGAGAGUACCCGAAGAAAAAGCAUCGGCUAACUCCGUGCCAGCAGCCGCGGUAAUACGGAGGAUGCGAGCGUUAUCCGGAUUUAUUGGGUUUAAAGGGUGCGCAGGCGGAGGUGCAAGUCAGCGGUCAAAUUGCGGGGCUCAACCCCGUACUGCCGUUGAAACUGCAUCCCUUGAGUGCGCGAGAAGUAUGCGGAAUGCGUGGUGUAGCGGUGAAAUGCUUAGAUAUCACGAAGAACUCCGAUUGCGAAGGCAGCAUACGGCAGCGCUACUGACGCUGAAGCUCGAAGGCGCGGGUAUCGAACAGGAUUAGAUACCCGGAUAA
rnacentral:rRNA from 1 species